rnacentral:rRNA from 1 species
GGACGAACGCUGGCGGCGUGCCUAAUACAUGCAAGUCGAGCGGACUUAUCCUUCGGGAUAGGUUAGCGGCGGACGGGUGAGUAACACGUAGGCAACCUGCCUGUAAGAUCGGGAUAACUACCGGAAACGGUAGCUAAGACCGGAUAGCUGGUUUCUCCGCAUGGGGGAAUCAUGAAACANGGGGCAACCUNUGGCUUACGGAUGGGCCUGCGGCGCAUUAGCUAGUUGGUGGGGUAAYGGCCCACCAAGGCGACGAUGCGUAGCCGACCUGAGAGGGUGAUCGGCCACACUGGGACUGAGACACGGCCCAGACUCCUACGGGAGGCAGCAGUAGGGAAUCUUCCGCAAUGGGCGCAAGCCUGACGGAGCAACGCCGCGUGAGUGAUGAAGGUUUUCGGAUCGUAAAGCUCUGUUGCCAAGGAAGAACGCCUCGGAGAGUAACUGCUCUGAGGGUGACGGUACUUGAGAAGAAAGCCCCGGCUAACUACGUGCCAGCAGCCGCGGUAAUACGUAGGGGGCAAGCGUUGUCCGGAAUUAUUGGGCGUAAAGCGCGCGCAGGCGGUCUUUUAAGUUUGGUGUUUAAGCCCGGGGCUCAACCCCGGUUCGCACUGAAAACUGGGAGACUUGAGUGCAGGAGAGGAAAGCGGAAUUCCACGUGUAGCGGUGAAAUGCGUAGAGAUGUGGAGGAACACCAGUGGCGAAGGCGGCUUUCUGGACUGUAACUGACGCUGA